UUUCAGUGACAAAGUUUGAUGAUUUUUAUUUUUCUUCACCCACAAUCAGCGACUUCACCACUAUCUGAGCUGAGUUAGAAACACAAAAACAGUUGAACAAUUGAAUAUGAUUAUUAUUAGAGUGAUUGAAAAGCUCAUAACAACAUGUUGGAAUAUCCAUAGAAGCCACGAAUACAAAUAUUCAGCAAACAGAGAGAGCACAUAUCAUUUGAAGUGUUUUUGGGGAAGACAGGAAAGACUUUAGACAGUUGAAUUUGGGACAGGAAAUAAGGUGGUACUUUUUUCAUCUUUCUGUUAUUUUGACGUCACUUUUUUCUCUUAAGUCUCAGACCUUUAAAAUCUGCACCAACUGAAGGUGAUUUCAACAAAUGAUCAUCUUGAUGUUGUUGCUAUAAAACUUAAGUGAAGAUUUUUAAAAUGAGAAAUACAAACAAUCAAAGUUAUCCACAAUCACUGUCCUUACAGCUGCGACCAAAGUAGCAUUUUUAAAAAAGAAUGAAAAAGGUAAAAAAGAAAAACUAAACCGAGAGUUUUUGGUGAGACUGAUCCACAAAAAUUUACAAACCAGAACAUUUCAAGAGUUCAGUGAUCUCAUUUACAUGUUUUUGGUCUGAUGGACUCAUUUUUUUUUUUUUUGUUUGGUCACGUCACUAAACUCAGCAGAGCCUCCAUUAGCCCAUGAUAAUGCCACUCCAGCAUGUAGCGGCUGAGUGAAUGUGGUCUUAACUCUGUGGAGGAGAGUCAUGGUUUCAGAGACGCUGUAGAAGGACAGAAUACCUGCUUUAUGAUCCAGGUACACUCCUACUCUGGAAGACCGAGGACCUGAGACACGAGUGAAGACACUGUUGUGAAAAAAAUCAUACCUGUCUUUAUAACAGACUAACCUCCAAGAUUUGUCAUUGCAUCCAAAUCCACAAUCCCCUGACCACCCUGCUCUGCUGAUAGUCUUGUAAGCGACUGCUACAUGGACCUCGUACCCUCUCCGCUCCACCUCCCAGUAACAACGUCCAGUCAGACUCUCUCUACUCAGGACUUGAGUAUAAUCAAUGAAUCUGUCUGGGUGAUCAGGAUAAGACUGUUGUUCUUCUGUAUAUGUUGCUCUUCUGUUUGCAACAGAUAAUAACAGCUUUCUGUGUGCUGUGUUUGGAUCCAGUGUGAUUCUUUGUGAAUAUCUUAAGAAAUCAGCUCUGGUCUUGGGUUCUGGUUCUGGUUCUGGUGGUUCUAACAGUAAAAUAUCCACUUCACUCACUGCCUGUGAGACGUUUGUCCACGUCUCUGUCAGAAGAUCCUGGAGUUUAUCUCUGACCUCUGACACAGCUGCUGUCACCUCCUCAAAGUAUCUCUGAGGACGGAUGUUGAUCCUGGAUGAGUCUGCAGGUUGACCCGGUCCUGACAGUGGGGGAUAGCCGAGCAGAAACUGGUUGUGGUCCUCUGUGAGUGAGAGCUUCAGCAGAUCAGCGUCUUUCCUCUUCAGCUCAGUGAUCUCCUGCUCCAGCUUCUUCUGAAGCUCUUUGACUCGACUCACUUCACGUUUCUGCUGGGAUCUGACCUGCUGCUCCACCUCAGAGUGAUGUUUCUCCAUGAGACGGAUCAGCUGGCUGAAGAUCUCCUGGCUGUGCUCCACAGCUUUAUCAGCAGAGCCGUUGAUAGCCUCCACCUCCUGUUGGAGCAGCUUCACAUCUUUCUCUCUAACCUGGAUUCUCUGCUGGAUGUUUUCUCGACUCUCCUCCAGAUCUUUCUGCCUCUCAGUCCUUUCUGCUGCAGCUGAGACUGUGUUGUGGCCUUCGUGUUGGCCCAAACAGCAGAUGAAACAGAUAGACUGUUGAUCAGUGCGACAGAAGAUCUUCAUCACCUCACCAUGACGAGAGCAGACUUCCUCCACUAAACCUGCCAACAUGGUGUUUUUCUGCAGGACAGGCCUCGGUGUGAAGGUCCGUCUGCACUGAGGACAGCUGUAGAUCUUCUUCUCAUCCUCUUUAUCCCAGUGGGCUUGAAUACAGCUCAUGCAGAAGCUGUGUCCACAGGAAACAGCCACCGGAUCCUUCAGUCGAUCCAAACAGAUGGGACAAGAGAAAGAUUCACGGUCCAGCUGAACUCCUUUCUGCGCCAUUUCAACACUCACUGUCGACGAUGACUGACUGACU
rnacentral:lncRNA from 1 species